AUUGAGCGCUGGCGGCAUGCCUUACACAUGCAAGUCGAACGGCAGCACGGGUGCUUGCACCUGGUGGCGAGUGGCGAACGGGUGAGUAAUACAUCGGAACGUACCAUAUCGUGGGGGAUAACAAAUUGAAAAAUUUGCUAAUACCGCAUAAUACUCUGAGGAGGAAAGCGGGGGAUUCGUAAGAACCUGGUGCGAUUAGAGCGGCGGAUGGCGGAUUAGCUAGUUGGUGAGGAAAAGGCCCACCAAGGCAACGAUCAGUAGCAGGUCUGAGAGGAUGAUCUGCCACACUGGAACUGAUAAACGGUCCAGACUCCUACGGGAGGCAGCAGUGGGGAAUUUUGGACAAUGGACGAAAGUCUGAUCCAGCAAUGCCACGUGAGUGAAGAAGGCCUUCGGGUUGUAAAGCUCUUUUGUCAGUGAAGAAAACUUUAGUAAUAACACUAUUAAAGCAUGACGGUAACUGAAGAAUAAGGACCGGCUAACUACGUGCCAGCAGCCGCAGUAA
rnacentral:rRNA from 1 species